UAGUCGUGCGCCUUCAAUGNCCAUGAUGGAGGCGCGGCACACCGUCAGUAACACGUGGCUAACCUACCCUUGAGACAGAGACACCUCCGGGAAACUGGAGCUAAUCUCUGAUAGGUGAGGAACCCUGGAAUGGAUCUUCGCCCAAAAGACGUUUAGAUCAUGCUUCUAGACGUUGCCCAAGGAUGGGGCCGCGGCCGAUCAGUUGUUGGUGAGGUAACGGCUCACCAAGCCUGUAACCGGUACGGGCCGUGAAAGCGGUAGCCCGGAGAUGGGAACUGAGACAAGGUCCCAGCCCUACGGGGCGCACAGUCGCGCAACCUUCGCAAUAAGCGAAAGCUUGACGGGGUUAUCCCGAGUGUCAUCCGCUGAGGGUGACUUUUACCCAGUGUAAUAGCUGGGGGAAUCAAGGAGAGGGCAAGUCCGGUGUCAGCCGACGCGGUAAUACCAGCUCUCCGAGUGGUGGGGACGCUUACUGGGCCUGAAGCAUCCGUAACUGGCUGGACAAGUCCCCUGUUAAAACCAGCGAUCUAAUCGUUGGAUUGCGGGGGAUACUGCCCGGCUAAGGGGCGGGAGAGGCCGACGGUAUUCCCGG
rnacentral:rRNA from 1 species